UACAUUCCAGUUAGGGAUAGGGAUGACAGAUUUACCCGGACCUGGACGAACCCGGAUAAUCCGGGCCGGGUUGAACCCGUACCGCAGUGCAAAAUAAUCCGAAUUCGGAAUGGAUUUUUAUAACCCGGAUAUAUCCGGGUCCGGUUCCAGGUUUAGGCUAACCUGAAUAUCUGAAACCCGGACCCAGAUAUCAUAUUUUAAUAUUAUUUUUUAAUUAAUUUUAUUGAUUAAUAUAAAUACAAACAUAAACAAAAAAACCUUAAUUUUAUCCAGGUUGCUAUUGUCAGUCAGUCACAACUCACAACUCACAACUCACAGGCUUGGCCGCUUGGGUUCUUAGCUUCUUGCAGCCUUCGCGAUUCACUGCCGUCAGAACUCAGAAGCUUGGGUUCGCCACCGUCGUCUGUCGCAACUCGUACUCUUGGGUUCACCAUUCACGACCGUCGCAGCCUCGGCUUCUUGCAGUUCCAAACAACAAUCCAGGUUUUUACCGUCGCAAGCUCGGGUUCGCAGUUGGCUACCAUCACAAGCUCGGGUUCGCGGUUCGCCACCGUCGCAACUCGUACUCUCGGGUUCACGACCGUCGCAGCCUCCGGUUCUUGCAACUCCAAACAACGAUCCAGUUUGCUAUCCUUUCGUUUUGAUUUCAUUAUACUUUGUUAUUUGAUUUUAUCUAUGCUAGAAACAUUGUUCUUAUAGUAAAAAGAUUCGAAAUGGUUUAUGCUUUAAUGGGCUUAUAUUUGUAGUGAUUUAAUUUUUUUUAUUUGAUGAUUUACAAUCUGG
rnacentral:lncRNA from 1 species